rnacentral:misc_RNA from 1 species
UGAUGGUGAUGGCAACUGCCG